AUAGAAAUUGUUGAGUUCUCUCUAGAGGUUUAAGUUUUGCCGGGUUUGAGAAGUGGUGAUCUAUUGUGUUCUUCUGUAGGGCUGAGUUGAUGAUUGUUUGAAAUUGGACAAGCAGCUGCUUUGUGGAUUCUAGGCAGUUAUUGGUUUUAAUGAAGUUUGUUUUCCACUUCUGCUUUUUUCCAUUUAUGGUGAGAUGAUUAGGCAUUCCUCAUUUUCCUUGUAUUGCAAGCCUCUCUUGUUUAGGUGUGGGCUUUCUUUAAUCUGUAAUGGUUCUUUUUACAUUUCAAUUAACAAGCUCUUAUUUAUUUGAGCUUCUCUUGCCUUUUGUUGUUUUUGGAAAAUGAAUAGUCAUUCACUAUCUUCCAUUGUAGGGAUUGUUUAUGAAUCUGGAAAGCUUGGGAUCCUCAAAGUUAUGGAUUGUUUCUAUCCUUGUAAUGCAUGCUGCAUUAACUAAAGUGAUUGGUGGUAAAUCAUGGAGAUAUUGCAAGUGUAAUUUAUUUGCGAAUGCUACGCUACCUUCAUACAAUUUACUUAGCUUAGGGUUUCAUCCUAUACGAUUUAUAUGUUUCUUUUGAUACAGAAUUUUUGUUGGAACUUUUCAUUUACCAGGUGAUUUCUAUGCUUUAAGUGGUUGUUGAGGAGUGGUCAUGGACAUCCUCAGUGUUUACACUCCUUUGAUCAUCAAUUGAUGGAUUGAUCAAUCCUUUUGUUGUUUUAGAGCUGUUUCUGCAUUUAUAAUCCAAUGCACUGGCUGUGCUUCUUUUUUCACAGAGCGAUCUCUUUGAUUGAGGAGGUUGUGUCAGGAAUGAGUACAUAUGAUGAGGUUGGUCAAUUAUUACUUAGAAUGACUGAGCUUUUCCCAAGUUCGAUGAUCUAUUGACAUCUAUCUUUGGUUGGGUUGGUUUAUGGGUGGUGUCCUUGUCAUGCGUUAUUGAGGCUUUAGUACACCAGACAAAUGGAAGAGAGACGUAUUGCUUGUUCCCAUAUUCAAGGCUGUCUGUGGCACGAGCUUACUAGAUCGUUUCUUUUUACAAUAGGAUGGAGGACAUCUGCAAUAAGACUCCUGCUGUGGACUUUCAGCUGCAUAUCUUAGGACUUGAUGGUUCUGGUUCUUGUUUUCCAGAGUUCGUGUUUCUUAUGAGCAAAAGAUUCUGGUGUCAGUGAAUAAGAAGGAAAUUUUGAAGUUCCCUUGCCAUUGAUCAACAGAUUUUCACAAUGUUAUGGCUACCAAAAUGAUGGUGAUUUCAAUUUGGUCAAUUGGUUGUUAAGACCGAGGUUUUUCUAUUCAGUUCUGAUCUUGACGCACCAUCAACAAGUCAAAACAACGUGGAAACAACUUGCUUUUAUACGGAUAAGGUUUCUAAGUUGUCUUUAAUAGCAAUGGAAUUUGAUUAAGACACAGAAGAUUUACUUAUUACUGGAGUCUUUCAGUUAUUUUAGUCACUGUAAGGAUAAUGCCAGCCUUAUUUUGGCUGGACAGUUGGCAUUUGGUGCGCUAUCUUAAUGGUAAUUUCACUUGAAGUGACUGGUUGAUCGCAGAUGGCUGAGAUUAUUACCUUCUUGGGAAAUUGCUUCAGUUGGAUAUGAGAUGGGUCUAUUGUCUUUUCUUUGUUAACCGGUUGCUAUCGCCUUGAUUCCCAUGUCAUGUAUAUAAGAUUUUUACCUGAUGGAGAUGUUUCACAAAACUUGCCUUACUCAUUUCUCCCAAUCUUCUGAUGUUGUUGAGGGUGGAUGGUCCUUUUAAUAGUGUACACCAGACAUCAGGAAGGUGAUCUUCAAGAAUGUCGAUACUUCAUCCAGCUAUACUGAGUAAUGUUUCUUCCUUGUCUAUACGGUUUCCUACCGGCCAUUGUAUCAUUGGCUCUCUGGGAAAUCCUCACCAAGCAUGGUUAUUGUUAAUGCUAUUAGAUGUGGAAGUAUUGACUUGUGCACAGCUUCUGGAACUAUUGACAAUCUCUACUAUGGCUGAGCACUUCAAUUUGUUCAUUAUAGUAACCUGGUUCUUUUAUAUAGUGAGUGUUUUGUUUUAAGUUCGGUACCUACCUUGAUUAUGUAGACAUAUCAAAUCUGUUAUCCCUAAUUCUGUUCAAGAGGCAAUUUCUAACUAUUUGUUAGCAGUACUUGUUUUCCUUCUCAUUGAUGCUACCUUGCAAGGCCACAGCAUUUGCGCUGUCAGCAAUCAAGAGAGGUGGUAAAAUUGAGAUCUAGCCAAGAUGCCAGUCACAAUUAUAGAUCUUCAUUCUGAUGAAGAGGUUUUGGUGUAAUUCCUUCGCCUCCUAAGGACCUGAAUUUGUUGCUGGGUUUUGUUUGCCUGUGGUUUUUUUUUUUUUUUUUACAGGUUGGUUAAGCACAAUACAAUGUUGACUGACUGAAGAUGUAUAUAGGCCAUAUGUUUACCAUCUGGAGAUUUACUUGAACGUUCAUCUCUGGAAACAUCUUUGGGACACAUAAUUAUGAUGAUGGAGCUAUCAGUAGAAGUUUGAUGUUUGUAUCCGACUCCUUUCAGAAUCCCUCUCUUUAAUUUUGAGUUUGAAAGUAGUUUUGACUCUCUCUCGACUUUUAUAUCUUUGGAUGACAAGUGGGAGAAGAGGGUUAUCUUGUGGAUUCUGAAUCUGUUUAUUUGAAGAAGCUGGGAUCUUCUAUUUGCA